rnacentral:rRNA from 1 species
UACGGAGGAUUCAAGCGUUAUCCGGAUUUAUUGGGUGUAAAGGGCGUGCAGCCGGGCCGACAAGUCAGAUGUGAAAUCCGCGGGCUUAACCCGCGAACUGCAUUUGAAACUAUUGGUCUUGAGUACCGGAGAGGUUAUCGGAAUUCCUUGUGUAGCGGUGAAAUGCGUAGAUAUCACGCAGAACCCCGAUUGCGAAGGCAGCAUACCGGUGCACAACUGACGCUCAGGCACGAAAGCGUGGGUAUCGAACAGG